CUAGAUUCCAUUUUUGCAACACCCCUCAAGUCCUCUCAAGGGUCAUGUGAAGUUCUUGAGAUAAUAUCAAUUUAAAUUCACCUGAAUGUUUAAACAUGGUUCUUUAAAGCAGGAAGACAGAGAGGUGGAAGAAGCUGAAUGGCCGUGCCCGCGGGAGCAUGGCUGGUCAGACGCCGGGUCUGAGGAGUACCGAGUGACCUGGGGCAAAAUGGACGUCUCCUGGAUCCUUGAGUCACCACGUGGAGAAGAACUAUUGACCACUCUUGCUGGGCCUUACAGGUGCAAGAAAUAAACUUCUGCUUCUUACAAGAAGACUACCCCCUCACAUGAUGAGCCACAAAGGCAUCUGAGGAUGUCCAGCUCUCUUGGGUCACCCCAGAUCCACCUGAUGCUACAUUCCUGGACCUGGGCCUGGCGUCAAGUUCUGCUCUUGACACUAGUCAUCUGUGAGUUACCCCUCUGGACCGCCCCUUCUUCGUGUCUCCAUGAGCUUGCUCCCAGACCCCAGGGCAGGGCUAAUUCCAUCAGGGCUCUGGACUGGGGGUCAGUUGCACCUGUGCCCAAAAGCCAGAGCCAAGAAGCUGCAAUGUCCUUUGCUCACCACACUGCACUGGGUAGCACCUGGUGUACAGUCAGAGCACCAGGGUGAGAAUGGACAAGGGCCAACUUGGACUCCUAUUGUCUGAGGGGAAUGUGGCUGUCGCUGCCCUGAACAGGCAAGUCAGAGAGGAGCUGGAACAGAGGCCUGAUUUGGUUCCUUGCACCUGUUGGCACACCUCUCAAUACAGGGUCUCAACAGGAGCUCUGGACUGAGAGUCACAAUCAUUUAUACCCCUGGGUAAAAGUGUUCAAAAGAGAAAGGCUGGAGGGGACUCCCUGGCCAAUGACAAACACAGUGUCCCUCUUCAGGAGCUGGAGAAGCUUAGGCUUCAACAUGGAGAAACAUGUGUCUGUCUCAAGCCUACAUCUGCCAAUGUAGGCACAUGUUUCCCUGCCAGGGGCCAGCUGGAAGCUUCCUGGAGCUCCUUAUGCUUCUGGCCUCUUCAACUCACAAACUGUUCAGCAGGGCAAAACCCUUAACAAGCUGGAACAUAAUCAAAACUCUAAAUGCAUUAGGUCAUUUCUCCUGUAAUGAGAAAGAAAAAUCACAAUAAAACAAAUUCACAUCAAGAACAUACUGAAAGAACAGUAACAAUAGCCAUAUCCACAAAACAAUCUUAGCCUUGUCACCAGCGAGGAGGCAAUCUUAGGAUGGUGGCUGUAAGGCCAUCAAAUCCCCAAGGAACCGUCCAACCAUCCAACAAAAGAAUCAAUACUGGAGACGAUCGCUGUUUCCCAAGGCAGAGAGCAGACACAUGCAUCGUGCCUUGUCAGUGACGACGCAAAUGGAAACGCUUCUGCGGUCAAUCUUCAGUGAAUGCGAUGAUUUUAUUAACUGAUUCUUGAGUAUCCGGGCCCUCCUUAAACAUUCUGGUGAAAGGACAUUUGUAAGAUACACAAAGAAUUCACACACCCUACAUCUUGAGAAAAUCAGACGCUUCAUAUCCUUUGUGGAAAUGAGAUCGAGAACAAAAUAAAAUAUAAAAAUCUUUUAAAAUCCAUGAAACAAUAAGGAGACGAGAAGGGGAUGAGGGGACAAACAAAAAGAAAAGGGGCCACUUGCCUGGCGCUUUGGAGGCCUAGAAAGUUAAACGUGUCCUAAAGUCAUGGCACUGGCCGCCCUCCAAAAUCUGAGAGGCACCUCAAGGCAUUUGGAAGAAAGCACCACUUGGCUGGGAAAAGUGGUACCAAGGGAGGCUUUCAGGCCAGGAAUUACAGGGAAAGUAACAAUCAUGUUAAUCAAGUGCCUAGAAUUGGCUUCACACCGACUUUCUCUGAAACUAUUGGCCAAGAAUAUCUUUCAGUUUAUUUGCACAAUUGACCAAAAUUCCUUCUACCUUAGAACGUAUUAACCUGAUCUACUUGUUCUUAAGGUUCAGGAGAUCACAGAUUCUUUUGAGAAUCCAACAAAGCUAUGUACCCUUUCCACCAAAAAAAUUAUUGUUGGCACACACUUCUCAACGAAUUAACAAGGACCCGAAGCCAACUCAUAGACCCUGGUUUGAAACCCCUGUGCUAAAGUGGACUCCAUUUGGGACCCAGGGACCAAGGAUGGGCGCAGUUUCAUUUCCCGAGUUUCAAUAUCAGGGGCUGAUCAUCUACGCGAGGUGACGAGAUAACUAUAAUCAUAAGAGAAAGGCACCUUAGCGCCUCCCAAGUUUGCCCUGGGAAUUUAGCAUCCUCACUGGUUAUUGUGGAGGCAUCCAUCCAGCCUGGCCAGGGCCCUUUCUCCCAGGGGCCUUCAGGCAUUUACAAAACACCAGAUGGCACAACUCUUCUAGGCAGGUAUGGGACAGGACAACCUGUUAGUACUCAAAUCAGGGACUGUCUCCAUUAGGGGUGUGUGUGUGUGUGUGUGUGUCCAUGCAUGCGUGCACCUGGGAAUCUCAGGCCAUCUCAGUGGGCUGGUUGGGUUCAUCUAGACUCACCUGAGCCAUUUCUUCACUUUGGAGCAUUUCUCCAAAGAAAUUACGGGUAAAACCAACAUCACAAAUGAUGUAAUGAUUUGGCCCAGAAGUGAUCCUCAUCACUUCCCCUCCCAGCCCUUUGGCUGGGAGCAGUGCUAUGGCCCUGUCUGAGAAGGGAGGAAAAUAGAAACUCCCUGUGGUCCACCAGAGCAGAGCACUGGAUCCAGGCAAGCUCAGGAGCUCUCCUCCACACACUCUUUACACAGGAAUCAGAGACACCGACGGGAAAAAGGACAUGCUCUAGGUCACUGUCUAGAAAGGGCACAGCCAAGACUCCAGCCUGGGUCUGUCGUACAAAGUUUCCAUGCCCCUAAUCACAGUCGGAGCGCAGUGGGGGUAAACAAAGGGAAGGCAGAAGCAAAGAACUUCCUUGCUCUGUGUGAUGUGCUUUCAGAUCGCAAGGAGCUUUCUGCAUGCUGGGGGACCACCUGCCCUGGGAGAGUCUGGGGUCUACAGGCCUCCCCGCAUUCCACUACUGGGGAGAGCACACUGAUGACAGCCCUCGCCUGGUGUUACUGAUGUCUUGGCGUGUUGGCCAUGCAAUAAGCAGAUUUUCAUCUCACCUCUGACUUGGUGGCACACGAUGGGCCUCCUGGUGAGCUUGAGGGUCGUGCUGCAACAUUCCAUUUCUAUUGCAUCAGUGUCACUGGGGCACACAGAGCACGCCUUCCUGCAGCCCCAAACCUACAGGCUCCCCCAACAAGGCCCCUCCCCACACAGGGACCAGGGUGGCAAAGGGUGCACAAUGCCCUCUUCCUGUGGCCUAUUGAGAAGGAGUAGGCAGGGCACGGAGGCAGUGGGGAGGCUGUGAAGGAAGGUUUGCCUUCGUUUUAAGGUUUGGUGCUUUUAGGCGUAAACUCUGAGUUUCUUUCCUGACACCAUGCCUACAGCCAGGAGGCUGGGAAAUCAGGCUUGCUGGGGCUCAGACCUGAGUAGCGAGUCUUCAUGCUCUGAGCCAAAGAGCACAGCAGGGUCUGUGCCUGGGGUCAGUGUCCUCACAGCAGCAGCACCUGUGGCCCAUAGCAAUGACUGAACUAUGGCCCUGGGGUCCUGGGUGGGACACCACCCCCCAGUAUCAACUAGGAAGGGUCUGGAGUCAAGCUUCUGCCCCUACAUUGUGCUGGCUGCCUCUUUCCUACACAAUGUUUAGGGGUUUGCUUGAUUUAUUUUGAGAGCAAAUUACUAUCACAAUUCGAGAGCCCUGAGCCCCUCGCCUGCCCCAGGACUCUCCUCAAUCCCCCCGCGCUUUCUCUCUUUCUCUCUCUCUCUCCCCUGUACGCUGCCACCCAUGCAGCUGAUGCGACACAGCUGCGGAGUGAUUUAACGCGGGGAUCAUUCCUGUCUGACACUCUGACUUGGGAGAAAACCUGGAUGUUUUUGUGCAUAAUAGAGCUACUUUCCUCACUCAGCAUCAGCAUUUACAGGCUGUACAACUCACUCUUCCUGGAAUUUGCUCUUCUGGUUCUUGUAAUCCUGGGCUGAGUGAUGCCAUGCCUCCCUGUUCUCUGCUUCCUGCAAGGAUUUUUUUUUUUCUUUUUGGCUGGCCACAUUUGAUCCAUUAGAAGCCUCCCCGUUUUUUCCCUUCCAUUUCUCCCUUUCCAUCCCCCAUUUCAGUCCACCCUGAGGGUUUCUGAAUAAAGCCGGAGGAGUGCGUUCCCGCCUUUGACUCACGCUGCUCCAGUUGAAAGUUCACUGAAUUUCCUUAUGCACCAAGAAGCUUCACACUGAGUACCUCUGAGAAACUCUUACUCACUUGAUUACAGCAUUGCUAAACUUUUGGCAGAACACGUGUUUACCCAUUUAAUUAUCAUUAUUCAGUGUUUCUCCCACUCGGAUUUCUGGUUUUACAUAUUAUAUCAUUUUUGGCUGAGCAGACGUGUGGGGAAUGGUAAUAUAGAAGGCGGAAAAAGAUACAGUGGAUCGGGAUGUGCACUUAAACUUUAGUUUUUUCUCCCAAGGACGACUGUCUGCGAGAUAUCCAUGUCACCAAGCAAAUAUUCUUUUCUUUAAAUCACUUUUCUUUUGUUUUCGGAAAAAGUCCCUUCCAUUGGUCCUCCCCUCAUUGGGUCUUACUCAUGCCUCAAUCACUUCCUACUGGGGUUAUAGAUGGUUUUUGUUUCACGACAUCUAAAAUGAUGUCUUUUGAAUGAAUAUCCAAGGAGCCAAACAGACAUAGAAAGAUUGAUUCUGGAAAAUAAAAUAUUAGUCAUUUGC
rnacentral:lncRNA from 10 species